rnacentral:lncRNA from 1 species
CUGUCUGAAAACAAAAUUUUGGUCCUUUCCUGCAAAGUCAGACAUGGUUCUGCGGAUACAAGAACAAAUCCGUUUCCUUUCAAAAAUUGAUGAUCGUUGCCAGCAUUGGUUCUUCUUCGACCACGUCUCGUGCUUCUUCCCGCUAACCAGGUCUUGUACACGAGAAAUUGACCUAAGGUUGGAAUAGGGUUCGUUUAUAACUUUGAACAACUUGUUUACUACAUAUCUUGUUUGUAAGAGAAAUGCCAUUUAAUUUAUAAUGUUUGUCUUUCAGUAACAUUCGGUGAUAUUGUAGUUUAUGUUAUGAAGAGAUACGUGAUCUCUUUAUAAAUAAAUAUUUACGUUUCAGCGCAUGGGCAUACGUUUAUAUCAGUCAUGUUUUAAAGUUGUUUUCGACAUUUCUGAUGCAAUUGUUGUUAGUUAUUAGGACCAAGUGGAAUUGUAUGUCAGCAUUAUGAUGCGAGACAUCUU